UUACGGCCAUAUCAUGUUGAAACACUUGUUCCCAUUAGAUCACUGAAGUUAAGCAAUGUCGAGCCUGGUCAGUACUGAGAUGGGUGACUGCUUUGGAAUACCAGGUGCU